UACGAGGGGGGCGAGCGUUGUUCGGAAUUAUUGGGCGUAAAGGGUGCGUAGGCGGUUUGGUAAGUCGGGUGUGAAAUCUCGGAGCUUAACUCCGAAACUGCAUUCGAUACUGCCGUGCUUGAGGACUGGAGAGGAGACUGGAAUUUACGGUGUAGCGGUGAAAUGCGUAGAUAUCGUAAGGAAGACCAGUGGCGAAGGCGGGUCUCUGGACAGUUCCUGACGCUGAGGCACGAAGGCCAGGGGAGCAAACGGG
rnacentral:rRNA from 1 species